rnacentral:tRNA from 1 species
AAUGAAUUGCCUGAUAAAAGGAUUACCUUGAUAGGGUAAAUUAUAAAAUUAUAAAUUUUAUUCAUUA